UGAAUUUAACUUUAUUAUGUAUAUUUACGAGUACCUAUCUAUCUAUUGAGUUUGAGUUUUAAAUACUCAUACAUGAUCAGGCAUAAUAGUCAAUACGUGUCUUGCGGAUGUUAAAUUUUGUCUUGAGUGCUUCAUAUUAUGUGAUUUGUGUGAGGUCCAUCCUUCAAACACGCGGAUCAUUUAAAUAGUAUGUGUACUGCGUGUAAGCUGUCAACUCGUCCUUGUUCGUACAUGAAACAAACCGUCAUAAAACUUAAAUUACAUUCAACAUAUGACGGAAUCACAUGCACACAUUGCACAGUCAGCCAUAAAAUUCUAUGUCAAGAAUUAAUAAAUUUUAGCACUACAAGCGUAUGGUAAAAGAAAACAUUUUACCCCUACGGAAAAUGCAUGUACCUCAUCACGUUGACUGUUUGUAAUGUCAAAGUUCAAUUAUUUCUUCUAUUGCUUAUACCACGCACGUCAUUGCAAGGGUGACAGGUUGGUGAAAUGUUAAAAUGACACGUGAAUAUAUGUUUACUUCUUUGUUAAAUCUUGUAUUGAAUGAAAAAUGUUUUUAUUAUUCCUCAAUAAUUAUUAAUUUUAGGUAUUACUAAUAAUAAAAUAUUCAGAGUUACUUUCAGAUUUAA